CGGAGAGAGACUGACAGCGGAGGCGGGGGUCAGGGCGGGGACCCGGACCCCAGCCCCAUCGGGGACAGAGUCCAAAAAUAGCUCGCGUCCUUGGUGUUCGCCUUGUCGCAGGAGCCUCGCCAUCGCGCAAUCUGCACUCGCCCCUCUGCAGAUCUAAGGCCAGACCUGGGCCACCCUAACUUCUCGGUAUCUCCUAUUUCUACAAACCGGCCGGGUAGAGGAUGCAGCCGGGCGUGGUGGCUACAAGAAAGUGCCCUGGUGUUAAGAACUCAGCCUCUGAAACCUGCCGCCCAGCUUCGAGUCAGCGACGUACUUUUGUUGUCCCGGCCUUAGUAUCCCCGCUGCAAUAAGAGGUACUCAGCUCAAACCAUCUGGGUGAGGAUUAAACGAGUUCAUAUCCAUAAAGGACUAGAACAGGUCCUGGCACCACAUAAACAUUCUUAUCAUCAAAUGUUAAAAAAUAAAGUUCUCUAAGAUUUCGAAA
rnacentral:lncRNA from 1 species